rnacentral:rRNA from 1 species
ACGGGUGAGUAACACGUAUCCAACCUGCCGUCUACUCUUGGACAGCCUUCUGAAAGGAAGAUUAAUACAGGAUGGCAUCAUGAGUCCGCAUGUUCACAUGAUUAAAGGUAUUCCGGUAGACGAUGGGGAUGCGUUCCAUUAGAUAGUAGGCGGGGUAACGGCCCACCUAGUCUUCGAUGGAUAGGGGUUCUGAGAGGAAGGUCCCCCACAUUGGAACUGAGACACGGUCCAA